GAACCCUAUCAUAGAGUCCCGCCGCCGCCCUCACUUUUCUCCCCCGCCCCAGCCGCUCACGUGUUGGCCGCGCCGCAAGAGGAGUGGACUGCGAGCGCGCUUGUCAUGUCGUCUCCUGUAGCUGUGUUGGUGGCCAUCGCGCAUCGCGGUCGUGGUGCUAGCGACGGUGGCGUGACGGUUGUGUCGUCGGUGCGCGUUUGAGCGGAUGGAGUAGGUGCGGAGAGGCUGGCACGAGGGCGGGGGUGGCUUCUCGAGCGAGUCCGACGAGAGAAAACGCGGGCGCCAUGUAUCCUGCCAUCUCGUCCCCGUCUUCCUCGUUCCCCCUCUCUAACUUGCAAUCAAGGAUUCCCUGGUACCUCCUCAUAUCUCGUUUCUCCCCUGUGUCCCUUGCAACAGCGCGCGUCGGUGGCUGCUGCGGCGCUGGUGAUCUGAGGACGACCGUGGGGCGGCCGCCUGGAGAAAGGAUCUGAGCACGUGGGGCAGACUACUCAGAAAGGGGGCGGUUCCCUGGGCUCAUGGGGGUGGCGGUGGCCUGAGCUGAUGCCUGAUGCAGUACGAUCAGAAUAGUGACCAUGAUCAUGGCCAGAGAAGUGACCUGCAGGACCUAGCAGAGACGAUUGCUCACAAAGUGGUGGCAUCAGAAUGUAGAGGAGGGACAUGAUUCCUUGUUUCUUGAUUUGGUUUCUAAAGUUGAUUGCGAUGGUGAAUUUUUUGGGUGGGUGAACCAUCAAUCUCUUGCUUGGCAAUCACGUCUUUUUAAAAAAAAAGUAUAUUGUUGUUCAGUUUGUGUAAUCAUAAAAGGGGAAAUAGAUGAAAUAUGAACCAACUGUGAUAUCUGGUAUGUGAUUCAUGAAAAUUUUGGUGUAGAGGAAACAAGAUUCAGAUAUUUUGUUGAAGCAUGCAUCCAAAUAUUCUAAUGUUGAUUUCAUUUGAUCUAUGUAUUUUCGUUUUGCAGAGCCCUCCACCUCUCUAAGAUAAUACAGGAAACCAUGUGCCCCUCCUAAAAAUCUAAAAUUGGCUGUCGGAGGACAUUAAGAUGCCUUGGAUGCUUUGCAUGUGCUGAUGCCACCACUUCAUUUCUUUUUAAUGAUAAGAGGUAGUAGUGCUUAAUUGUAUUGUUAUUUACUUAGGGGGACUUUAAACAUGCAAAAUUUGGGAAGAGAUGAUCCGAUCUUGGGGAGGAGUGGCGGGGAUACAGGGAAACACGGUCUAACCAAUUUUUCAGUUAAACUGGUUGGGCCACCUGGUACAUGCUGGUCAGUUUGCUCUCUGGCUCAAGAUGCGGAGCUCAAUUUUGUCCAGAUGUAGUUCAAGAUACACUAGCAACCGGGAUACAAGGAACUUCAGAUGAACAGGAGCAACACAUAAUAUAAAUUUGCAGAUAUUGCAGUGAGAGUAGUCUCAAUACAUAUUUGGAGAGGCCAAGUUGGUCACCUUCCAGCGCUCAUAUCCGUUAUGCUAGCUUCCGGACUGACACCCAGCGAAGUCAUGCGGCGAAACAUAGGAAAUACUAUGUUGCAUAUUCUUGGUUAUUUAUUUAUUUAUUUAUUUAUUUAUUUGAUAAGCUGGACUAAUCCAUUUUGACUAUAGGACAUGCACUGGAAUGAAAUCUUGCGGAUAUGUGCUGCCAUGUCAUCUGGUUGUCGAACAAACAAGUACGCUUUACAAAGAAUAAUAUGUUACGUGAUUCCCCAUCUCACUAUGUACUUAUUGGUUGGUAUGAGCGGGCAAGGAAAUGGAAUAAGGUUGAUGCAUCGCUAUGUUAUUUUUUUGUCUAUUCAGAUUUUAUUCCUUUAAUGUUAACUGUCUCAUAGCUGGAUCAUAGUGGCUAUGCAUAUGUAAAUUAUAGCCAUAGCUUUUUACUGGUGCUCUAGCUUAAUAAAGGAUAGUGUCCAUGGUUCUUGGUACUGUACUGACCAAUACAUUUUCUAAAACUUCUGGGAGAUGAUUAUUCAAUUGAUCUAACUGUUAAGAUGCAAGAAAAGGGCUUAGUACACUGCCAUCUUACCUACAGAACUGCUCUUUUUUUCUACUUUGAUCAAUAGGUCAGUGCCAUACCACACCCUUCUGGCUUUUGCAAAUACUUAUCCUUGUCAUAUGUAUGCUUACCAAAGGUCAAGGCCAUUGCUUGUUUGCCUACUUGUGUCAUACAAUAGUUUAGGAUCUCCUUGAAAACUUUGGUGGGUACCCAUGUGAACUGAAUUGGCCUACAUGCGACACAUUUCUGAUGUAAUUAUAAAUGAUAACAUGGAGAUUGGUUCUUCUUAUGAUUGCUUAGACGCAUAGAAACAUUUUGUCUGACCAGCCACUGGACCAUGGAAUUUCCGUUUGCAACUUUCAUAACCGAUUUUUUCUUAUGGUAGAUGCAAGGCCAUACGGAAGCUGUGAAUGAUAUUCAAAAGGGCUGGCAAUACCAUGACUAAUCAAGUAUCCUGGCAAAUAUUAGGGAUCAAUGAAAAAUAAUCAGGGACAAGAUCAUGCUAGCAACUGGUAUUUAUUUUGAUGGAUAUUUAAGUGAAAUAAGGUUUUUCCUAUGGGCUUCGUGAAAUUAAAAUUUUGAAGCACAUCAUUGUAAUUUGCUAUACGGGUUCGGGUAUCAGGUUAAUUUCUCGGGUAUGGGCUUCGAGUGUCUGGUUAUGUGCCCACCAUCAAUGCUAGAACCCUUUAUAUAUUAUCCUUUUUAUUGAAUCUUUUAUUGAUGUAACCAUUUUUUUUCUCAUUUUUAUUAUAUAAAGAGGUGAUGCACAACGGUGAGGGAAGAGUUGAUAGAGAUUAUCCAACCGGCCACCUUUCCACCGUUGCUAAAUGUUGCUGCAACGUAGAAUGUCGGUUUUACCAUGUAAACAAAAGAAACAUCCCACACCGUCGAUGGAUGUUUUUUCUUGAGAAAACGCAAAAAAAUUGCGUUUCAUUUCAUUGAAAGGGUUGAAGGUUCAAGAGUACACUCCUCCUAAGAAGAUAUAAUGGUUACAGCAGGUUACAUGAAUGCACAUCCUAUGUCGUCGGCUAUUGCUGAAUGUUAUCAAUUUUAUAUUAUUGGUUUGCAUGGCAGGUUACUGGUCAGGUGAUUCACUCUUUUUUUCUACUGCCAUCUAUCUUACUUUUUUCUUCUUGCGUGACACCUUGAGGCCAAAGAGAGUGAGCAGGUGCAAGCAUAUCAUAUGCAUCAGUCUUUCCACAUAUGUGUGUCAGUAGCAGACCGAAGCUGUUGAUGAUGUGCCUCCAAAAAAAAGAGGGGAAUCCAUCAAUAAAAGGAUGCUAAGGGAUUUCUGUGCAUCCUAUCAGUUGGGACUGUCAAGGUAAUCACUUUGAUUUGAUCUCAUAGUUUUUGUUCUGAUGGUUGCCAGUAUGCUUUCAGUUAAGAUGGUUUUAUAUUUGUACUACUAAAUGUUCCCAUAAUAAAAUAGGCUAACCUCUAAAUUUAUAGAUUGAGCAUCGCAUGUUGUAUGCUGUUAUUGCCUUGAAUCCUUUAUGAAGUAUGUGAACAGCCGCAACAAAAAUAAAUUGAGGCAUGAUGAUUGCAUAACAGACUCGAGAUUUUUUUUUGCAAUCUAAACUUCAGUUGAUGUGUUAGUUUUACAGAGAUAAGUAUGACUUGUAAAGCUAUGUUUUUUCAGAUGUGAUUUGGAGUUACUUUUCAAUAGCUAUUACUUCUUGAAUUCUAUCUCAUUUUCCGGAAAAUGAAUCAGGUGAAAAUUUAGGCGACUAAAGGUUUUAUUUUUAUUGCAUUAUUAUCCAUGAAUGCUUUAUUAAUGUGAUCUUAUGGAAAUCUUGCAAAUGUAUCUUCACUUGCAUAAAUGAAAUGCUACUGUAUGCGUGUGGGUGAACUUUUAUCAUCGGAGAUGAAUUCAUUUAGAAAAUGUUGGUAUGUUGUAUAUUUUGGUCAUUCGUCCUUAUUUUAGUUCCCUUAGUUCUGUCCUAGAAUGCAUAUAUUUUUGGAUUUCGAGUCUCCAUACAAGAUUGGAGAUGUGAAGUCAUAUCGUGCAAAGGCUACUGCAUUGUGCAAGUCACAAAUAUAGAACCUGAAAAAAUCCAAGAAAGUUUUGUUUUCUGAUAUAGAUGGCAAUGCAUCCGCUGGUGAAGUUGGCUCAGCAAAAUCCUAUUUGGACAAGCAGAUCAAGUUUCUUACUCGGUUACUCCCUUGUUGGCUAUUCUAGGGAAGCAUGUGCGUAAUUUAGAUUUCAGUCAUGCUACCUACUUUAUUUUCCUAACGACAUUUUUCGAGGUUUUUGGGUUCAGUUUUAACGCUUGAAGCCAGCAGUGUCAAUCUGGAUCUCAAUGGCAAGUGAUCACCAGAAUAUUAGCGCUGAUGUAGUGAUGUGCCAAGAGUUGCAUCCUGAACUUCUUCACAAAUUUCCGGACCAAGAAAUACUACGUUUACAACAGCAAUGAUACAUGUGGUUUGUUUUCUUCAGCAUUGUAACAACAUUGUUUCCAUUUAUUUUGACCUAGCAUAUCUUGGUGUCUGAAUUAUUUUCAUGCAUUCAACGGAAAUCAACCCAUGUAACAGAAUGCCAUAGCGGGGAAGGGAGCCAGGCCACUCCUAG